AAAUCUUAGCGGUGGAUCACUCGGUUCGUGGAUCGAUGAAGAACGCAGCUAGCUGCGAUAAAUAGUGCGAAUUGCAGACACAUUGAGCACUAAAAUUUCGAACGCACAUUGCGCCAUCGGGUUCAUUCCCGUUGGCACGUCUGGCUGAGGGUCA
rfam:Toxocara canis scaffold1799, whole genome shotgun sequence.